GACAGAGGCCUCAAGCGUUAGGCGGAAUCACUGGGCUUAAAGCGUGUGUAGGCGGAUCGUUAAGUGUCUUGUGAAAUCCCACGGCUCAACCGUGGAACUGCUUGGUAUACUGCGGGUCUUGAGCCACCUAGGGGCGAGCGGAACAAGUGGUGGAGCGGUGAAAUGCGUAGAUAUCACUUGGAACGCCAAUGGUGAAAACAGCUCGCUGGGGGUGUGCUGACGCUGAGACACGAAAGCCAGGGGAGCAAACGGG
rnacentral:rRNA from 1 species